AUUGAACGCUGGCGGCAGGCUUAACACAUGCAAGUCGAGCGGGGGAAGGUAGCUUGCUACCGGACCUAGCGGCGGACGGGUGAGUAAUGCUUAGGAAUCUGCCUAUUAGUGGGGGACAACAUCUCGAAAGGGAUGCUAAUACCGCAUACGUCCUACGGGAGAAAGCAGGGGAUCUUCGGACCUUGCGCUAAUAGGUGAGCCUAAGUCGGAUUAGCUAGUUGGUGGGGUAAAGGCCUACCAAGGCGACGAUCUGUAGCGGGUCUGAGAGGAUGAUCCGACACACUGGGACUGAGACACGGACCAGACUCCUACGGGAGGCAGCAGUGGGGAAUAUUGGACAAUGGGGGGAACCCUGAUCCAGCCAUGCCGCGUGUGUGAAGAAGGCCUUAUGGUUGUAAAGCACUUUAAGCGAGGAGGAGGCUACUUUAGUUAAUACCUAGAGAUAGUGGACGUUACUCGCAGAAUAAGCACCGGCUAACUCUGUGCCAGCCGCCGCGGUAA
rnacentral:rRNA from 1 species